rnacentral:rRNA from 1 species
UACAGAGGUCCCAAGCGUUGUUCGGAUUCAUUGGGCGUAAAGGGUGCGUAGGCGGCGCGGUAAGUCGGGUGUGAAAUCUCGGGGCUUAACUCCGAAACUGCAUUCGAUACUGGCGUGCUCGAGGAAUGGAGGGGAGACUGGAAUACUUGGUGUAGCAGUGAAAUGCGUAGAUAUCAAGUGGAACGCCAGUGGCGAAGGCGAGUCUCUGGACAUUUCCUGACGCUGAGGCACGAAAGCCAGGGGAGCAAACGGG